ACGCACAAAGUAUAUAGACAUAAGGUACCAUACGAUCAGAGAGCUAGUGAAGGAAGGUGAAGUAGAGUUGGUGAAGGUCCAUACCAAGAAGAACCAAUUGGAUACACUUAUGAAGGUACUUUCUCAAGAUAGUUUUCAGAUGUGUCUGGCAUGGAUGGGUCUAAAGGAUAAAGCUGAGUUCAUAAGGACUUGGGAGCACCA
rnacentral:lncRNA from 1 species